GCCGAACGCUGGCGGCGUGCCUAAUACAUGCAAGUCGAACGCAGUGGGGACGGGUGAGUAACACGUGGGUAACCUCCCAUCAGAGGGGAAAACACUUGGAAACAGGUGCUAAACCGAUACAGAUGGAUGGACCCGCGGUUCAUUAGCUAGGUGGUGAGGGAACGGCUCACCAAGGCCCCGAUGCAUAGCCGACCUUAGAGGGUGAUCGGCCACACUGGGACUGAGACACGGCCCGGACUCCUACGGGAGGCAGCAGUAGAGAAUCUUCGGCACUGGACGAAAGUCUGACCGAGCAACGCCGCGUGAUUGAAGAAGGUUUUCGGAUCGUAAAACUCUGUUGUUAGAGAAUCGGUAUCUAACCAGAAAGCCACGGCUAACUACGUGCCAGCAGCCGCGGUAAUUC
rnacentral:rRNA from 1 species